rnacentral:rRNA from 1 species
GAUGAACGCUAGCGGUGUGCUUAAUGCAUGCAAGUCGAACGAGAAACUACCGCACUUCGGUAUAGUAGUGGAAAGUGGCGAACGGGUGAGUAACACGUUGGUGACCUGCCUUCAAGAGGGGGACAACCACUGGAAACGGUGGCUAAUACCCCGGAUGUUUUCCUAAUUAGAUAGGGAAAACUAAAGCUCCGGCGCUUGAAGAGGGGCCAGCGUCCCAUCAGCUAGUUGGCGAGGUAACGGCUCACCAAGGCGAAGACGGGUAGGGGACGUGAGAGCGUGAUCCCCCACACUGGUACUGACACACGGACCAGAUACCUACGGGUAGCAGCAGCAAGGAAUAUUGCGCAAUGGGCGAAAGCCUGACGCAGCAACACCGCGUGGAGGAUGAAGGCCCUCGGGUCGUAAACUCCUUUUCUGGGGGAAUAGAAAGGAAGGUACCCCAGGAAUAAGGUCCGGCUAACUACG